GACCUCAUUGAUCAGAAGGAAUUCCUUCCGGUCAAUGAGGUUGUCAGACCUCAUUGAUCAGAAGGGAUUCCUUCCAGUCAAUGAAGUAUAACAACCUCAUUGACUGGAAGGGAUUCCUUUCAGUCAAUGAAGUAUAACAACCUCAUUGACCAGAAGGGAUUCCUUCCAGUCAAUGAGGUA
rnacentral:miRNA from 1 species